UACAGAGGAUGCAAGCGUUAUCCGGAAUGAUUGGGCGUAAAGCGUCUGUAGGUGGCUUUUUAAGUCCGCCGUCAAAUCCCAGGGCUCAACUCUGGACAGGCGGUGGAAACUACCAAGCUGGAGUACGGUAGGGGCAGAGGGAAUUUCCGGUGGAGCGGUGAAAUGCGUAGAGAUCGGAAAGAACACCAACGGCGAAAGCACUCUGGGACGGUACUGACGCUGAGACGCGAAAGCGUGGGUAGCAAACAGG
rnacentral:rRNA from 1 species